UCUUUGAAUACUGUGACAGUCUCUUUCAUUUUUCUUUCUUUUGAAAUAGGUUUAGUUAUCGCAGUUAUGCUGAACAGUGACAAAUUGUGUCAUGGCAUUGUGAUGAAGACACAUCCUUUCUGAGGAGAGAAGAAAUCUGAAAUUUACACAUGUGUACCGAAUUCUGAAGAGACAAAAAGGAAAAUUGGCCACAGUGCCAUACUGGAAUACCUCCCCAAAGUAAGCUACAGAUCCUAGUGGUCACAUUAGUGCCAUCUUUGUCAACCGCACAGUGGACAGCUCUGACACUCAGCCAGUUGGUCCAAAUUGACUUCUGUCCACAAGAUCAGGUCCAUGAGACAGAAACUCUUCGAUAAAAGAGGAUUUCAGUUCAGUUGACAGUGUAGACUCAUGUGGUAAUAAAAGUCACUUCAGUCUGGAGUAAUGAAUGAAUUAGUUAUUAAAAAACCAAGGCUGCUGGCACAAAGUUAACAUGUGCUACUUAGGAGCCAGACUGACAUACUUCUCCCUAACAUCUUCAGAAGAAUGGCCUGCGUGUGAUUCCCAGAGAAGCAGGACUCUUCAGCUGACUUUCCUCUUCUGGUCUGCAGUCUCACUCUCUGCUUUUGAUUCUUGGAAAGAGUGGUUCCAGGAGAACACAUUUCACAUGCUCUUAGCUUUGCUUUUUCUUAACACAGAUCAAUGAUGCUAUUGUAGCUUAUGGUUUCCUCUUUCUGUGUUACUCUCAUCUAGGUUUCUUAUCAUAUCCCCUUUCUUUUCUAGGACUGCCUGUAGCAGUGAGUAGGUCACAGAAGUAUUAGUAGAGGCCUAAGCCCGUGGGUUUCCCAGGGUGGUUCAUAUUCAGAUUUGGUUCAUACAACAAUGAAGGUCCAUGAGUGUCAUUUUCUAAGGAAGGGACUUGUUAUUAGACAAACAGAAGUUAAAACAGGCAAGAAAAGGUAGUCUGAAGAUAUGCCAAGAAACUGGAAUAAGACCAGGGAGUCUGUAGAACAUACUUGGCCAGAUUUCUUAGAAAAAUAAGAAAACGUGAUUUGUCCAGUUGAAAACUGUCUAUGGCAUCAAACUGUCUAAAAUGGAAAGCAAAGGAAAAUAAAGCAAUGUAGUGCACAGCGGUAUGUCCUGGCAAGCACUUGAAGGGCAGGAAAAGAACGUGACAAAAGAGAGAGGAAAUUAAUUCUGAUUACAUUGUUAGAAUGUGGUCACCCUGAUUCCAUAACAGUCUUGUCCUUGGUUCAAACAAACAAACCCCCACUACGUUAGUUUUAAAUAUAUAAUAAAUCAGGAAAUAAUAGUAGCAGAUGAAGACUGACAAAUCAUAGGAUUCCAGGGAUAUGAUGUGAAGCAGAUCUUGGGGAAAUGGAAUUGAUGGGAAAGCGUUGGUGCUGAGCAGCAUAUCCCAGGAUUACAAGUGACUGCAUUUCUGUGUUUGAUGCUGUACUUCAAAGUGAAGGAUGAUCUUUAUUGAGAAAAGUUUCAGCAUGGUUUGUGCACUCUUUUCUUGGGCAUCUGACACACCACAGAGUUUGCUGAUGUUAGUGUAUCUGGUUUUGAACAUUAGUUAUGCAAAGUUAGAAUUAAUCUGUUGGGAGAGUUCAAUUCCCAAUUGUUAUUUGUUACAGUAAUUCUAAUUUCUUUAUUUAUUUAUAGAAAUUGAUGAACUCUUAUCUGUGUACUGACUUUAUUCUCUGGUAGAAGGGUCAGUGGCAGUGUGAUAGUUACAGUAUUAUGUCCAAAUUUACUUUCCCAAAUACAGAAUAAAGAGACAAAAGUAAUGUCAUCAGUUAGAGUUAAAAACUAGUCUUAUGCUUUAUGUAAAAUGUAGUGGAUCAGUGAAUCACAUUUUCAAGGCAGUUCUGGACUGGCUUUUUUACAAUACACUGCUUUUUAGCAGAAGAGGCUAUAAAUUUAUGGAUGUUUAUGAGCUCUCCCCUAUGAGCCAUGUAACAAGUAUGUAGGAUUGAGAAGCAGUGGGUUUCUCCAGGGUUUUUGUAUGUCCAUUUUUCGUAUUCAAUUAAAAUGCAGGAAAUAACAAAGGGUGUAUGUACUGAAAUUUGUAGAUGAUACAAUUUAUUCUGCUGGGUUUAGGAUCUUAUACUUCUAUGGAUAUAUUUUUUUAACUUUGAGGGGAUGGACAGCUGGAUUUGGAUUAACUAGAAUUUAAUAUUUGGAAGAGCUGGCUGUGGUCUUUGUGUUCCUGUACAUCUUUGUGUAACCUUGGAGAUUGUUCUUCUUCUUUCUCUUGUUUUCUUUUUUCCCCUCUUCUGUUUUGUUUUUUUAAAGGGUUUGGUUUUGGUUUUUUUUUUUUUGCUGUGAAGUAAAAAUAAAGGGCCUCAAUACCUCUGAGGACUUGGACCUCCAUCUGUCUGUACUUUGAUUUCCUAGGAGAACUUCUGCUGGAAGAGUAUGAUCUGGUAUAAAUUAAUUCGCUCAAGAGCACUUGAGUCUUUAGAUGCUUCUUGUUUUGUUUUUUUUUGUUUUUCUUUUUUUUACUUUAGGUUAAUGCUGAUUAAUAAUUGAUCUCUACCUACCAUGACUUCCCUUUCCAGGAUAAAAAAAUGUUGUGACAUAUUCCUUUUUUGAAAAGCUUAAAUUAAUGAACACAGUAAAUGUAGGCAUACUGGUAAGCAGCAUCCUGACCUAAAAAAAGCAAUUCAAAAUAAAUCACCCACCUCCAAGAAAGAUAAAAAUAAUAUUCAGUAAGAGUUGUUUCCGCAGCUUGAAAGCGAGAAUAAAUUUCUUAAAGCAAAAUGAAUGUUAUAUGCCGUUAUUCUAGUGGAAGCAAAAAAGAGCCUAAAAUUCUUAAUGCACUGGAAAAAAACAAGAGCAAAGGCUGAAAUAGCAUAAUCCUUUCCUCUCCAAAAUUUGGAAACAGGAAGGAAAUAGUAGGGAAAUAGACCUUUAAAUAUUGAAAUGCAUUAUCUUAAAGGAAUUGCUCUGAAACAGCACAUCAGCAAUAUUAAUGCUGGCAGGAGGGUGUGUCUGUGGGAGCAGAGAAUGAAAAUUAUCUGAAUAAAUCGUGGAGAUCACUUUUCCACAUAAAGUGCCCAUCAGAUUUAUGCAGAAGUACAUGAACAGUCAUGGGGUUGUCCUCAUGUCCUCCAGGACAGUGACCUACCUUGAUUCUCAUGAAUGUCUGAGCUGAAAUCCAUACUCCCUUCAUGUUGUAAGCACUGUGUGACCAUGCUGCAUGAUUUUAGGGCCUAGCCCAGCUCUCAGUGAAGUUUACUUUUCACAUUAAUAGUGGGUGAAUUGGGCCAGCCAUAGUUUCUUACGAUCCCUGUCAAAAAAAGUAUCCAUUUCAGUUACUAGUGAUGUCCUUUCAGUUUGUAAAAUGAUUUGGCGCUGCAGUGCAGCCUAUAAAUACCAGAUCGGAUUGCCGUGGCAAUGGGAGAAUAAUUUUUUUCUUUUUUUGGAAAUGCCUAAAAGAAUGGGGUGAGCCUCAGAGCCACAGCUAGCUUAGAAAUGAAGUGGCACCUGAGCUGGUCAGCGAGAAAGGGACAGACUGCUUAUUAGAAACGCUAGAGGAUGGAGUUCAAGGAAUUAGGUCAAGGCUGAAAUACUGGCACUGUUGAGCUCAUUGGAGGCAGAAUUUCACUUGAGAUUUCCCUGAAUAAGGGAAAUUCUUUGAAUGGAUGACAUGUGACCACCCUCUUGCCAUCUCUCCCUCAUUCUUCUUCCUCUUUACAUUUCAAUAUUAUAAAUUGUUGGAUAAUUUACCAUUUCUUUUUGAAGCAUGAGAAAACUUGGCAGAGAGUACAAAGUUGAAAGUAACUCAUUCUGUAACAGUUUCAGAUCCAUGCUGAUUGUUAAUUUUGUGUAAAGGUGAUUUUCUUAUCAAAUGGCUUCUUAGAAGGCUGUCUCUCCAUGUGACUAAUAGGACUUCAUGGACAUGGCAAGCCUCCCAGGAACCAUGAGGGAAAAGAGCAGCAUUGCUGCAAGUUGUAGAACCAUCCAGAGGAAUCCAAUGACUCUACAACUACUUGUGUAGGAACUUCAUUGCUUUGUUUGUCUGAUUAAAGAUCACCUCUGAAAAUGUCACAGAAUCUGAGGUAUUUACUUGAUCUAACAGGCCCUAUCCCUUGCAAAGGAAAUCUGACAGGUAACGGAGAACAAUAUAUGUCUUAAAGGUCCAGUUCCAAGUAGAUUUAGCAUGUCUCUUUUGCUAGAGAAUUAUAGAUUGGAGUUUAGUCAAAGACCACUGUCAGUUACAUUUUCUCAAUAUUAUUAUUGAAGAUUUUAAGUGGUUCACAAAAUGCUUUUUACAUU